UACAGAGGAUGCAAGCGUUAUCCGGAAUGAUUGGGCGUAAAGGGUCUGUAGGUGGCCUCCUGAGUCUGCUGUUAAAGAUCAAGGCUUAACCUUGAGCAGGCAGUAGAAACUCAUAAGCUUGAGUACGGUAGGGGCAGAGGGAAUUCCCGGUGUAGCGGUGAAAUGCGUAGAUAUCGGGAAGAACACCAAUGGCGAAGGCAGCUCGCUGGGACGGUACUGACGCUGAGGAGCGAAAGCGUGGGGAGCGAACAGG
rnacentral:rRNA from 1 species